rnacentral:rRNA from 1 species
UAGGGAAUCUUCGGCAAUGGACGAAAGUCUGACCGAGCAACGCCGCGUGAGUGAAGAAGGUUUUCGGAUCGUAAAACUCUGUUGGUAGAGAAGAACGUUGGUGAGAGUGGAAAGCUCAUCAAGUGACGGUAACUACCCAGAAAGGGACGGCUAACUACGUGCCACG